CUUAGAGUGAAAAGCUCCAAAAUGAAAGUAUAAAUCAGGUGCCCUUCAGAGUCAAGGGUGGCAGUGAAUACAUGUGGCUGGAGAGACCCAGAAAGGCUGUUGUUUCUCUUUUCCUGCUUUAGCCUCGCCAUCUGUGAAUUAACAGACCAGCUGGAGAAGAACGGUCUCCAAAGGCCAAUAGCAGCUCAGGUUUGCUCGGAUUUUAAGAAACGCCCCGGAGGAGCAUCUACUUUUCAGACUCCAGUGUAAGGAAACCCUGGUUAGGACGGGUGAGGAGGAGGGCUACGGUGAGGAUGGGGAAGAGGCUCCAUGUGUGCGGCCCCUUGACAGUCCAGUCCCCUGCCCCUCACAACUCAGCUCACGCCAGUGAGCAUGCUCAUUGAGCUUUCUGCUCAUUACUUUGCAGAACUAAGUUGAAAAAAUAGGCCAAGGAGAAAAUCAGUAGAUUAUAAGCCAACCCCUGGUCAAAUAACACAAAAACUAACGGCUGGUGGAGCCUCAGGCCCAGUCCUGAAGAACAGGGUCCUCACCGACAGAAGCAGGAACACGGGCCUUCCCCGGUGGCCUUCCAGAGUCCCAGGUCCAGCCUCACUUUCCAUCGUGUCUGCCUCCACCACCCUUUCCGGUACUUGGGGAUGGUUUCACUUUUAUUGUGAUUUGAAAUGAUUCCAUGACUCAGUUCUAUUGUUGUUCUGUGUACAGUGAGUAAUGAAACAUUUUUAACGGCAUCUUUUGGGCGCCUUUUCCUUUGAUUUUUUCCACCUUAAUGACAUUAUUGGGAGGGCUUCGGGGACCGUUAUGCAGAUGUACUUCCUGGCGAAGUUGCUGCUUCAGGAGAAGUCAUUACUUUUUGUGGGGCCCACAGGCACUGGAGAGGCUGCUCUUACAAACCGCUUCCUGCGACAGUUACCUCAUGAAAAAUAUGUUAUAUGUCAAAUUAACUUCACGGUGCAGACCUCAGCUAAGCAGACCCAGGACAUCUCCCUAACGGAACUUGAAAGGAUUCAUAUUCUCUGCAAUUUCUCAUUGAUUAGUCCAGGGCUGAUCUUAUUGAAGGCUGAACAAGGACCUCCAGGAAUUGAAGAAACACAAAAAUGAAUGUGAUUCUGGAUUUCAUCGUAUCUACUGAGCCUGACGUGGUAACUUUGCUAACAUUUGUGAGUGGCAAUUCCUAAGCACCAGCACAAAGCUGGGAAGCUUCUGGCAAUUUUAAGAAAGACUCUGAAGUUCAAUAAUAAAAGUUUAUUGAAUGCACCUCUGAUUUUCUUG
ensembl:lncRNA